rnacentral:piRNA from 1 species
UCCAAAAGCCAGGGGAAUCUCAGA